UGGGGCUACACACGUCAUACAAUGGAUGGUACAAAGGGUCGCCAACCGCGAGGGGGAGCCAAUCCAUAAAGCCAUUCGUAGUCCGGAUCGCAGUCUGCAACUCGACUGCGUGAAGUCGGAAUCGCUAGUAAUCGUGGAUCAGAAUGUCACGGUGAAUACGUUCCCGGGUCUU
rnacentral:rRNA from 1 species